GCGGACGUAGCUCAGUUGGUAGAGCGCAACCUUGCCAAGGUUGAGGUCGCGAGUUCGAACCUCGUCGUCCGCUC
rnacentral:tRNA from 16 species